UAUAUUUUAGUGUAUGAUGCACAAAAGUUUUUGAUACUUUUAGUAGUAGUUUGAGUCUAUUAAAUAUAA
rnacentral:tRNA from 1 species